UAGCCUGAUGAUAUGUUUAAUCUGAAAGAAAUCUAUGCUGAUCACUCAUAAAAUAUUAAACCAAAAGGAUUCUGAAACUU
rfam:Lucilia cuprina strain LS Scaffold86, whole genome shotgun sequence.